UCAGGGGCCACAGCUCAGCGCUCUCCAUCGCAUUCGGGUUCGGGGUGUGCCUCCCCCUUCCCCUCCGUUGCAAAGAGACCUACGAUACUUCUGAAGGGAAAGGAGCUGUAUGGCAGACGAAUUUUCGUUUGCUUUUUCUGACUGAACAGGAAAUCACCAAUAUCCAGGAAGUCAAAGAGCUGGGAAAGAAGGGCCAGGUGGUGGCGUGUUACCUGCUAAAUCCAGAGGUCCUUGGUGAGGACACACUUAACAGGACGCAGACUCAGAGCACUGACCAGAAAAGUGCCUUCGUCACAGCCUGCUGGCUGAUCCCUGUGUGAGAUGGUGGUGCCUUUCUCAAGAUAGAACAUUCUACCCUACCACAAGGCAUCUGCCCAUGGGAGGGGCUCUGCUAUAGCAGAGGACAUUGAUCUACCCCAUGGGGGAGUAAAGGACAAAAUGUGCCCCGCAGCAAAUUUUAAAGUACCUCUCAGUAAGUCCUGUCACAGCAAAAACAGUUUUCAAAUAAGCAUUUCAGUUAGAUAGCCGUUAUGAUGGCAUUUUCCCCCCUCAGAAAACCCCAAGUCUCCUCCGAGUGAAAGGAAUCAGAGGCUCCUCGAAUUUUCCUAGGCAUCAACUGCCUAUCAAUAAAGAAAAACUCAAAUCAAAGCUCAACCUCUUUCUGAAGGGUCUGCUGUCAGUCAUGUCAUGAAGGUUUAAGUGGAAACAGGGAAGGCAUGUAAUAAAAUAUUUAUGCUCUCUUACCAUUAGCAUCUUGGACUCCAGUAAGUGCUCCAACAGCUGCUGCGGUUUCCCCAGACAGGACGAUCUGUCCCCCUCCUUGCAAGGUAGCCUCGGCCAGUGUGGCGACAGCAUGGGCGGCGGCUUCGCUGUGGGCACGGGAACAGAAGAGGGGGAUGUGUGAGUUGAAUAAAGGUACAGCACUGCAGCAAGA